GUAUUUAAGGAUUCUCUUUCACGAAAAGCAAAUCAUUAAGUUAUAGUACCAGUGAGAGUUAAGUUGUGAAACAAAUAACAACAUGAAAUCAAUCUUCUUCGUCAUCUGUCUUGUGCUGUUUAUUAUUGUACACACAGAGGCUGAAGACACUGAAGACAUCAUUGGUGCUCUUCCCAAGCCCCCAACAUUGCCGGAUGUUGGUGAAAUUAAUAAAUUCCCUUCACCACAGGACUUUCUUCAGGUAAUCAAAGAGAAGAUUUGUGUCCCUCUCUGUAACAUCAUCGCAAGUAAUCCUACCUUAUCAUACCUUGCUAUAAUCAUUGAUGCCCUGUGUAAGUGUUGAGAAUGUAAGAAAAUUGUGAUGAUUUUUAUCUUAAUGUUAAUAAAAUAGAGCACGUGAGAAGAA